rnacentral:rRNA from 1 species
GAUGAACGCUGGCGGCGUGCCUAAUACAUGCAAGUCGAGCGAACGGACGAGGAGCUUGCUCCUCUGACGUUAGCGGCGGACGGGUGAGUAACACGUGGAUAACCUACCUAUAAGACUGGGAUAACUUCGGGAAACCGGAGCUAAUACCGGAUAAUAUAUUGAACCGCAUGGUUCAAUAGUGAAUGACGGUUUUGCUGUCACUUAUAGAUGGAUCCGCGCCGCAUUAGCUAGUUGGUAAGGUAACGGCUUACCAAGGCAACGAUGCGUAGCCGACCUGAGAGGGUGAUCGGCCACACUGGAACUGAGACACGGUCCAGACUCCUACGGGAGGCAGCAGUAGGGAAUAUUCCGCAAUGGGCGAAAGCAUGACGGAGCAACGCCGCGUGAGUGAUGAAGGUCUUCGGAUCGUAAAACUCUGUUAUUAGGGAAGAACAAAUGUGUAAGUAACUAUGCACGUCUUGACGGUACCUAAUCAGAAAGCCACGGCUAACUACGUG